GUGGUUGUGGCUCAGCGGUAGAGCACUCACCUAGCAUGUGCAAGGCCCUGGGUUGGAUCCUCAGCACCACA
rnacentral:tRNA from 1 species